UGAUGAUUGGGUAUUACAUUAGCCUCCCUA
rnacentral:piRNA from 1 species